UAUAACCGUUUUCAUACGGUAUUUUCACCUGGUCCGCGAAACGACAGCAGUGUCUAUAAAUCCGUCGGCCAGACUCUAUAUGUAAUAUAUUACCGACUGUACAGACUAUCGGGUAUAACAUGUACGACCGUGUAAGAAUUGCUCGCGGGCGAUAGCCGAGGGGAUGAAAUCGAUUGGCUGGACGGAUACACGUACGCACACGUAUUACUGCACACCCUGUGCAUGACCUUUUUACUGGCGCGUUUACCGAGACCGUACCUAUAUUUUAUUAGCAAACGGCUGACCGACCGAACGUGUGUAUGUGUGUCGAUAAAAUGCCGUAAUAUAAAUAUAUAAAAUAUAAUAUUAACUAUAUCACGUGGCUCAAUUGGUACCGUCAACUGCAGCACACGCGGUUUGACAACAUACAGAUACCG